GACGAACGCUGGCGGCGUGCCUAAUACAUGCAAGUCGAACGCUGAAGGAGGAGCUUGCUUCUCCGGAUGAGUUGCGAACGGGUGAGUAACGCGUAGGUAACCUGCCUGGUAGCGGGGGAUAACUAUUGGAAACGAUAGCUAAUACCGCAUAAGAGUAGAUGUUGCAUGACAUUUGCUUAAAAGGUGCAAUUGCAUCACUACCAGAUGGACCUGCGUUGUAUUAGCUAGUUGGUGGGGUAACGGCUUACCAAGGCGACGAUACAUAGCCGACCUGAGAGGGUGAUCGGCCACACUGGGACUGAGACACGGCCCAGACUCCUACGGGAGGCAGCAGUAGGGAAUCUUCGGCAAUGGACGGAAGUCUGACCGAGCAACGCCGCGUGAGUGAAGAAGGUUUUCGGAUCGUAAAGCUCUGUUGUAAGAGAAGAACGAGUGUGAGAGUGGAAAGUUCACACUGUGACGGUAUCUUACCAGAAAGGGACGGCUAACUACGUG
rnacentral:rRNA from 1 species